UACGGAGGGAGCUAGCGUUGUUCGGAAUUACUGGGCGUAAAGCGUGCGUAGGCGGUUCGUUAAGUCUGUCGUGAAAGCCCUGGGCUCAACCUGGGAAUUGCGAUGGAUACUGGCGAGCUAGAGUACGGUAGAGGAUGGUGGAAUUCCCGGUGUAGCGGUGAAAUGCGUAGAGAUCGGGAGGAACACCCGUGGCGAAGGCGGCCAUCUGGACCAGUACUGACGCUGAGGCACGAAAGCGUGGGGAGCAAACAGG
rnacentral:rRNA from 1 species